rnacentral:tRNA from 1 species
GGGCCCAGACCCGCCCGGAGACCCGGGUGGCGGGGCACGCCUGAUAAGCGUGAGGUCGGAAGUUCGAGUCUACCCAGGCCCA